CUCAGUAAGAGGUUGAGUCAUUAUGGGAUGCACCCAGGGCAUUAUGGGAGGGACUGUGACUUUUCCUGCUCCAACUUUGCCAUCCUGUGUAUCUUCAGUCACGGAGGGCCAAUUUCUCCAAUACUGUUUCUUCUGGAGAUGGGUGGGUCGCUGUCAUGCAAAUUGUUGUUAGUCCAAUUUAUGUGCAGGGGCUGAUUGGGAAUCUAGAAAGGAGUGAAAGAUGAUUGGAAGUGGGAUCAUUUUUCAAAGACAAGGGUGUAGGUAGCCAUACUCAGUUUUUCCAACUCUCCGUUUCUGCUUUGCAGCCAUUGGGACGGUCUCCCUGCAAUGUUCUCGGUCAUCUGCUCUGGAACACGCUCAGAUGACUUUUGAAGAAGUGUCCAUGUGUUUCACCGAGGGGGAGUGGGCCUUGCUGGAUCUGGACCAAAGAGCUCUAUACAGGGAGGUCAUGCUGGAGAAUUACGAGGAUGUGUCUGCUCUGGGUACGGUCCUUCUCCCCGUCUUGCCUGAGGGGUGACCAAGGAAAGUGGGGGGUGGCUUACUUGGAAUCCCUCAUGCGCUUCAGACUUACUUAUUCAAGGACCACCAUCUCUGGGCUGCCAAAAUCUAGAUGACCGUUAGGGGGCAGCAAAACACAUCCAUAAAAUCGUAACUCACAUCGCCAUCUAGUGAUCAGCUGAAUUUUUGCAGUGGUAGUUUUAAGUUGGCAGGCAGAGGCUCCGCUUUCUGUAACGGGCACAACACACUACCACUAUUUUAUCCGUUGCGUGCUUCUGAACAAAAUAUUGCAGUGAGGAAUUCCUCUGUUCUGGGUUCCAAUCAGUGGGAGAGCUGCUUAUUCCCCUUCCGCACAAGAAACAUCCAGUUUUCUGUAGCCUCUGAGCAUGUUCAGUCCUCUUUGACAUUUUGGAAAGUGGUUUUCUCCCCUUGGUUUUCUCCCCUUCUUUCGUGUUAGUUUCUGCUUCUGUGCACAUUGGGGGCUCUUUUAAGCCUACAGAAAUCUCCUCCUCUUUUCUUAAUAAUCCACAGUUCUCAAAGUUGACUCAUUUGAAAGUGGAGGGAAUAAGACCUUAACUCCUUAACAUUUCUUCCCUUUUUAAAAGGCUUUUUGAUUUCUAAACCAAUCCUUAUCGCCCAGCUGGAAGGAGGGGAAGAUUCAUUCAUCCGGUCUUCUGAGCCAAGAGAAAGGAGGAAAAUUACAGACAUCCUGACUGCAAAUGAGAUGAAAGAAAAAAGCCGUCCACGGCAGGAGGUCCCUCCUAAGUUGGUGGAAACGCCCAAAAUACUAUCCCGAAGAUCUCAGCAGGGCAUUUGCUUGAC